CAUUCGGUUUUUUUUGAAACCACCGUCAGUUUACUUUAAAAAGGUUU
rfam:Aedes aegypti strain Liverpool supercont1.40 genomic scaffold, whole genome shotgun sequence.